CAGCAGCCGCGGUAAUACGAAGGGUGCAAGCGUUAAUCGGAAUUACUGGGCGUAAAGCGUGCGUAGGCGGUUUGUUAAGUCUGUUGUGAAAUCCCCGGGCUCAACCUGGGAAUGGCAAUGGAUACUGGCAAGCUAGAGUGUGUCAGAGGAUGGUGGAAUUCCCGGUGUAGCAGUGAAUUGCGUAGAGAUCGGAAGGAGCAUCUGUGGCGAAGGCGACUAUCUGGGCCAACACUGACACUGAGGCACGAAGCGUGGGGAGCAAACAGGAUUAGAUACCCCGUAGUCCCUGUCUCUUAUACAC
rnacentral:rRNA from 1 species